ensembl:lncRNA
CUAACUUCAAAGGACCUCAUGCAGUAGUUUCUGUCGGGUUUGGACCAGUAUACACCCAGAUUUCUUCAGCUGUUUAGAGCAAAGAUGAGCAGCAUUUCACAAUUGGAAAGUCUUCUCAGCGAGAUCGACAGUGAUAAUUCCAUGUCAAUGAAAAGGGCUGUUGUUCUUCAGGGCCUUCCACAUUACCUCAGUGAGGAUCCAUCGGAUUUCAAGUCAGCAGAGGGAACAGACAUUGAAGACCGUGUGAUGGCAGGAAUGGAUGUGGAAAAUUCUCAUAAUGCCUGAUGGAGAUGAUGCCUUUGACUACUAUGUGGUGCUGGAGGAACAGAUUGUCCUGAGAGAUGUCAAAGACCUCCCUCAUGCUGUAGCUCUACUAGUCGGGCUGAUUUUUGCACUUAAUAUUGAUUACCCCCAAAAAAUACGCU